CAAUUCAUCUAUGUGUGGUUUUGUGCGUGUUCAUCUUCACAUGAUUGUUUUCAGUUGAACUCAAAUGUUUCUUAUGUACACUAGUGGGCAGUGCUUGAUGGGAUGCAUUUGACUGUGUGUUGUCACCUCUCCUCAAAUAAUAAUUCCCCACUCACCUUGAGUUCCGGAAACCCGAAGUCAGUUGUGGGCAUUCGUGCAGUUAUUUGCUAAGCUGUGCAUGUGGCCACUUCCCACCCCCCACCCCGAUACAGGUUUUCCAAUAUACCAGACUUGCACAGAGCAGCAGGUUACAAACGUGUGUUUGUGUGAGUGCAUCUCUUGUUCCUGGCUCCAUCAGCAGCCCACCAAGGUACUCCUUGCCAAUGGAAGGAGGGGGUGUAGUAAUAGACAGCACCCAGCAAAACGUCACCACAGCUGUAAAAACAAAACAAAACCAUUCACACAAUAUGCUUCAGUACAUCCACGUGAUUUUACGUUCAGUACAUCCAUGUGAUUUUAUGUUGGAUUUCCCCCCUUAUGGCAUUAUCCAGGAAAUCUAGAAAAUCAUAAUUAAAUUCUGAGGAGGAAAUUGUGGGCUGACACUGGGAUGAGGACAACAUCAUGUGGAACAUGCAAAGAACAUGUGCAUAUGAGAUGUAUAAAAUCUUCUUUAAACUACUUUGUGUGCAUAGCCUCAUAUAUACUGUGUGUGUGUGUGUAAUCUGAUUUACUUCCUAUUCAAAUACAUUGAAGGAGGUGUUUGCUCAAUGAAAACAUUUGUUAGCAGCAGAAGCUGAGAUCAGGGAAGAAACAGGAAAGGACUGUACUUUUCUGCGUAUAAUACGAGGUUUGUUUAAUAAAAUAAUUAUGUUUAAAAUUGGGGGUCGUCUUAUACAUGGAUAGUGCAUAGGGGGGACGUGAGCCGGAGAUUGUCAGAGGCUUUUGGGCGUGUUAUCAGUGGCUGUGCCAAGGGCUAGUGAUGAUUGGAUGUGCGAGUGGCAGUGUAGUUAAUUCGAGUGAGCAAUUUCCUUUAUCCCCCCCCCCCCAAAAAAACUCAACAACUCUGGGCAAUCCUCUCCAAAAAAGCUCCUCACCAACUCUGGGCAAUCUCCCCCCAUUUUUCUAAUUUGUAGUCCCCAAAAAUAUACACAGGGGCAGAAAAAUACGGUACUAUACUUGGGAAAAUAUGGUACUUUUUCACACAGUUUGCAUAUUACAGUAAACCAUAGUUUAUCAUGUGGACAAAACAAACCACAACCCUUAUUAUGAAUGAAGCAAUAUGGUUUAUUUUGCUCCAGAUAAACUGUUAUCAGUAAAAUAGCAACAAACCUUAUCGAAAUUUGCUUAGGGCAAAACAGAUCACAACCCCCAAUUUAUCUAUAAUGCUAAGCCAGGGGUUUGCUUCUCCAACCCUGAUAACCUCCCUCUUGUGGGUGGGUGGUGCUGGGUUUUGGCUUCAUAAGGAUCCACACUUGGAAAAUGAGUUUCAUAGAAUCAUAGAAUUGUAGAGCUGGAAAGGACCUUGAGGAUCAUCUAGUGCAACCUUUUGGUUGCUGCUGGAGGUUCAGUUACAGUUAAGACUAAAGAUCCAUUCAUUUGCAUUUGCAAAAUGGGAAAUGUGGUGGUUCUCCCUAAAACAGGAAACAUUCAACUGGUGUGAUAUCUAAUUAACUGCACUAGAAAUCAGUUGGGUUGGGCAAGAGCCAGAGAUUCUUGGAGUAUGCAUUGAUCUGACUGUGCCGUUAUUUUGAUUUAGCAUUGAACUCUCAAAAAGUUUCAAGUUUCCCAGGACAAAGUGAGAAUACUUUUGUUUCCUCUGCAUCCCAAAUUUGGAUUUCUUAGAGGAGCAAGGAGGUAGGUUAAAGAAUAGAGAGAGUGUUUUAUGGAAAGGGGUGGAUGAGGAGAAGUACCUUUGAGCACUCAUUUGGUUCAUGUGCUGUCUGUCCAUCUACAUUCACCGGUAAAGAGAGCCCAUUUCCCCAAAUCCUGGAAACAAUCUUGCCAAGAGAGAGAUCCUGUGUAUGUGUAUGCAUGUGUCUGUAUCUAGUUGUUUCAGAAGAGAAUCUACUAUAAAAGGAGUUAAUUUAUGUUAAUGGUUUUGUCAAAUUAAACAACUACACAUACAAAUUUACUUCCCUGAAUUCAUGGCAUUACAAUCUUCCCCAUGGCAACACCGAGAGUCAGAUAUUGAGUGGCAAAGUUCAAAUGGGUGAAAAAGGAAACAAAAUUGUCCAAAUAUAUUCAAUUACCAGUUUCUUUAAAAAAGAAAAGCAAGAUAAACCUUUAGACAGUGUUUUCUGCUUGCAGAGUCCUUUAUAAUGUUUGUUCAUUUUCUUCCCAUUGUACUAAAAUGUAUAUACAGAGAGUCCUUUUAAUUUCCCAUUAUACUGUAUACCAAAGCAUUCAUGCCUAAUACUAUUACUGAUAAAGAAACCACAAGCAUAUUUGCAGAGACUGAAUGUCUAUAAAGAGACGAUCAAGGGAGUCCCUUGAGAAAAUAAAGUCCCAUAUCAGAUUAUGUUGUGAAAAGGCUGGAACUAGUAUGCUCAGCUCAAUUACAGAAGAGUGUGUGUGUGUUUUAAAGAGAGUCAGUCCUGUUUUAUAUCACACAAUUAUUUUCUUAAGCCUAGGAACAUUACAUAAAUUAAAAUUUAAGAUAAUGGUCAUUUGGCACAAAACAAGCCCUAUGAAUGCUUUGGAUAAUAAUUAAAGAGGAUUUAGCAAGAUAAUCAGUUAAUAUUCUGUGGACUUUUGCAUCCAAAGUAAAAGCUGAGAGAUGUAGUGGCCCUGUUGGCAUGUUAUAUCAUUUAGUGUGAAUGGAAAUAUCACUUUCAUUUUGCUGAUCUCCCAGUGCAAGCAGGACCAACAAACCAUGAUCCCUGGCUUACCAAAUUGGCCAUGUGACACCCAACUAUGUCCCCGCUGGUACAAAAGGAUAAAAUGGGAGAGGUGUUAUUGAAUCACAGACUUGUAGAGUUGGAAGGGACACUAAGGAUCAUCUAUUCCAACCCACUUCAAUGCAGGAAUAGGCAGCCAUUCCAUACAGGGAUCAAAUCUGCAACCUUGGCGUUAUCAGUACCAUGCUCUAACCAGCUGAGCUAUUGGUUAGUUUUUGUUUUGGUUCUUGCUUUUAUUAUGUAUUUUGUGUUUGGAAGAAGGGCGGCAUACAAACUUUAAUAAGAAUAAUAAAAAAUAUUGUCAGCAGAUUUAUCUUUAUAAUAAAUUUAUUGUGUGGAUUGUCAGCAUUUUUUUUAAAGCAAUGGCAACCUCUGUGCAAAUAUUUUUUUAAAUCUAGUGAGAGAGAGAGAGAGAGAGGGACCAUGCAUAGCUGCAAAGCUCACUGGGUCACUCAUUAUCUCUGCAUUAUAUGUGUAUAUGCUUGCAUACAUAUAUAGCAAAAAAACAACAACCCAGAUAGACUAAAGUUUUAACAGUGUAAGUGGCUCCAAUAAAAAUGGAAAGUAAAAUGUCUUCUAACAGAUGUGAGAGUUUUAUGGGCACCUCCCAGUUAUUGUAAAAUCCCAUCAUGAGAUAACCUAGCAUGUGACACCAUCUUGUAAGACACAGUAACUACAGUGGUACCUCGGGUUAAGAACUUAAUUCGUUCCGGAGGUCCGUUCUUAACCUGAAACUGUUCUUAACCUGAAGCACCACUUUAGCUAAUGGGGCCUCCCACUGCCACCGCGCCACUGGAGCACGAUUUCUGUUCUUAUCCUGAAGCAAAGUUCUUUUGACCUCCCUGCCAAUUUAGAUACAGCAACUGAACUGGAGGCCCCUCAACUGUCUUCGGGUCCAGUGUUGGACCAUUUCGAUCGGAUACUCCCUGCUGAUGUGGAUAGAUUCCUCCAAGCUGGUAGGCCCACCACCUGCCUCCUCGAUCUGUGCCUGUCUUGGCUGAUUAGGGUGUGUCCAGAUGUCGCGCGGACCCCCCUGGUUGAAAUUAUCAAUUUGUCCCUUGGCACGGGGACAUUCCCAGGGGAACUGAAGGAAGCAGUGGUGUGCCUGCUCUUAAAGAAAACUUCACUAGAUCCUUUAAGGUAAAGGUAAAGGUACCCCUGCCCGUACGAGCCAGUCGUGUCCGACUCUAAGGUUGCGUGCUCAUCUCGCUCUAGAGGCCGUGAGCCGACGCCGUCCAAAGACACUUCCGGGUCACGUGGCCAGCAUGACGAAGCUGCUCUGGCGAGCCAGCACCAGCGCAGCACACGGAAACGCCGUUUACCUUCCCCCUAUAAAGCGGUACCUAUUUAUCUACUUGCACUUAAGAGUGCUUUUGAACUGCUAGGUGGGCAGGAGCUGGGACUGAACGACGGGAGCUCACCCCGCCGCGGGGAUUCGAACCGCCGACCAUACGAUCGGCAAGUCCUAGGCACUGAGGUUUUACCCACAGAGCCAGACCUAUCCAAUUACCGCCCAGUUUCAAAUCUUCCAUAUCUGGGUAAGGUAAUUGAGAGAGCAGUUGCUGAACAGCUUGGUAGGUUUCUGGAAGAAACAUCAGCUUUAGAUCCAUUUCAGUCUCGGUUCCGUCCUGGUUUUGGGACCGAGACAGCUCUGGUUGCCCUAACAGAUGAUCUCCGUAGACAACUGGAUCGAGGUGGGUCAGGACUGCUGAUCCUUUUAGAUUUAUCAGCAGCCUUUGACAUGGUCGAUCAUGAUCUUCUGGACCACUGCCUCGCUGACGUGGGGAUACAGGGCAUAGCCCGUAAAUGGCUGUGCUCUUUUAUCUCUGGCCAGGGACAGAGGCUGGCGCUAGGGAGGGAGAUGUUGUCGCACCACUCCUUGGUGUGUGGAGUGCUGCAGGGUGCAUUUCUCUCCCCAAAGCUUUUUAACAUCUUUAUGUGCCCCCUUGCCCAGAUUGUCCGGAGCUUUGGGCUGGGCUGUCACCAAUAUGCUGAUGACACUCAGCUCUAUCUGCUGAUGGAUGGCCACACUGACUCGGCACCGGACACACUGACUAGAUGCUUGGAAGCUGUGGCUGGAUGGUUUUGUGGGAGCCGAUUGAAACUAAAUCCUUUGAAGACAGAGGUUCUCUGGCUGAGUCGGGAUGGCGUGGAGAUGAGGGACCAACUCCCUUCUCUUGCGGGGGCCCAAUUAGUGCCAUUGUCUUCCGUUAAGAGUUUGGAUGUAAUCCUUGAUGCCUCCCUUUCCAUGGAGGCACAGGUUACAGCAACAGCCAAGACGACAUUUUUCUACCUUCGCCGCAUCAAGCAGUUGGUCCCUUACCUUUCCCGCCCCAACCUGGCCACAGUGAUCCAUGAGACAGUCACCUCCAGGCUUGACUACUGUAAUUCGCUCUACGCAGGGCUGCCCUUGAAGCUGUCCCAGAAACUCCAGCGGGAGCAGAAUGCUGCAGCGAGUCUCCUCACGGGGUCUCUGCCAUGGGAGCAUAUUCACCCAGUGCUUUUCCAGCUGCACUGCCUACCGGUGGAGUGCAGGGUCAGAUUUAAGGUGCUGCUUUUGACCUUUAAAGCCCUUCACAGCCUAGGACCCUCGUACCUACGGGACCGCCUCUCCCGGUAUGCCCAAUGGAGAGCCUCAAGGUCCAUAAUUAGCAACACCCUAGUGGUCCUGGGCCCUAAGGAAGUUAGAUUAGCUUCAACCAGAGCCAGGGCCUUUUCAACACUGGCUCCGGCCUGGUGGAACGCUCUGCCUCAUGAGACCAGGGCCCUGCAGGAUCUGAUUUCUUUCCGCUGGGCCUGUAAGACAGAGUUGUUCCGCCUGGCCUUUGGCUUGGAGUCAAUUUGAUUCCUUCCCCCUCUUUCUUUUUUCUUUUUCCUUUCUCCUCCUGUGAUGAGGCUGCAUUUUAAUAUUUUAAUGUUUCAAUAUUUUAAUGUUGUAUUUUAAUCUUGUUUUUAAGUUGUAUUCAUUCAACUUGUUUUUAUUAUUGCUUGUUAGCCACCCUGAGCCCAGCCUUGGCUGGGGAGGGCGGGGUAUAAAUAAAAAUUAUUAUUAUUCUUAUUAUUAUUAAUCUGAGGUACUAUUUCUGGGUUAGCGGAGUCUGUAACCUGAAGCGUAUGUAACCUGAACCUGAAGAGGUACCACUGUACUAGAUCCCCCAGAAAAUGCAUUGGACACAAUGUUUUGGGAAGUUCUCUUGCAAAAAGAACACCAUGGAUGAACCUACUGCUUCUUGCUCUUCUCUCCACUCCUGCUUAGGAGAUAGAACAACACUUGACCACACAGCAAGUGGACUCCUCCCCUUUGCACUGGAAGCCACGAAUCCUAAGAAAUCCUGUUCCUGCUUUGGCAGAUUUUGAAAAGCAUUUAUUAGUUUUGAGGUAAUGUGAUUUCAGCAUUGGAACUGCAGAAAAGAACAUGUUUAAAAAAUGCAUGUUGAUGGUUCCUCUUUCUCCCUCUCUUGCUGUUUAAAAAUAUAAGAGCUUAGCUAAGUACAGAAGGUAGAACAGUGUCUCAAAGUUGCUUGCUGAUGUGAGUGCCGUGAGUGUUUGUUCUUAUAAUGCCG
rnacentral:lncRNA from 1 species